ensembl:lncRNA
GUACUGUUCACAUCAUAAACUAUAAAUAAAAUCCAAAAAGAUACGAGACUUAAAGUUAUAAAAUGAAAUCAUAGAAAUUCUAUAAGAAAACAAGUUAGUAGAUUUUAUAUUCUAGCAGUGAGAUAAGCUUACCUAAUAAUGACUGAAAAUUCAGUAGCAAAAAGGGACAAAUAACUGACAAAAUUUGCUACAUAAAUACAAAUGACUUUCCAUAUAGCAAAUAUUAAAAAAUAAAUGAUAAACUGGAAAAUAUUUGCAACAUAAAUUAUAAAGUGUUAAAUCUCAGGCCAGGGAUUUAGCUCAGUGGUUUCACUGCCUGCCUUGCAAGCGCAAGGACCCGAGUUCGAUCCCUGGUACCAAAAAGUGUUAAAUCUCUAAUAUAUGAAAAGUUCCUUAAAAUAAAAAAUAAAAAAAGCUGGGCGUGAUAGGACACAACUGUAGUCUCAGCAUUCUGGAGCCUGAGGCAGGAAGGUUGUGAGUUCAAGGCCAGCCCGGGCUACAUAGUCAGAUGCUGUCUCAAAACAAAGAAAUUAAGAGGAAAAAUCAAGUAUCACUCCACAGAAAAGAACAAGGAGAGCAGUCAGGAUGGCCGAGGGGUCUAAGGUGCUGCAUUCAGAAAAGGAGAAGGAAAAGGUAAGGCUAAUUUUUCUUUUAAAAAUGAAAAGAUACACAUAGGAAAGCAAAUACAAAAUUAUAACUACACCAAAAUACUAUUUCUUGUUGAUCAUAUCAACAAAAGUACAAUUACUUCACAGGAUGCUUUUUAGGAAAAGGAGUGUUCUCAUAUGUUUGUAUUCCUGGUAGGAAUGUAAAAUAGUAGGACCGCUGUGAAGAGGAAUUUGUUACAGUCUAGCAAAAGCACAUCAGCACUUAUCUUUUGACCAGCAAUCCCACUAUUAAGAAUUGAUCCUAAAGGUAAAAUAUAAUCUGACAUAUACUCAGGACUAUCCAUUCCAGCACCCCUUGUAAUAACGUGAGUAUCUAUCAAUAAGAGCCUGGCUGGAGUAGUAGAUAGCUGUGAAAAGGGAUACUCCAGUGUAGAGUAUUAGACAGCUGCAAAAAGGGAUUCUGAAGAAGUUCAAUUAUAUGUCUAUAGAAUGAUCUGUAUAAUAUAUUUAAUGAGUGGGGGGGAAGCAAGGUACAGAAGAAAGUGUGUAUUAGAUUUCCUUUAUCCUAAGAGAGGGAUGAGUUAUAAAUAAUAUGUAUUGAGCUAUAUUUUUUUAAUGAAAUGCUAAAUAAAGGCUAACAAAAAUCACUGCCCAUAUAAACUGAAGGGAACUGUAUGGAAAGGAUGGAGAUGGAAGGUAGAGUUCUCUAAAUAUAGCUUGUGCUAAAGGCCCCAGAAACCAAUCUGUGAAUACCAUGUGGGGACUUCCACUGGCCACAGAUGAAACAAUUUGAGCAUCAAGAAGAGUAAAGACUUUAACAUAGCAAAUACACUAAAACAUGAAUUCGUAAUAGUACAAAUUCAAGCACCUGAAACAUGCUAAAUACAUUAAAACUCAUAGAUUCAUAUAUUUUUUAAAUGUCUUGAUCAUCUUUAGAGAUUCCUCAGAUACCAAAUCUUUAAGUAGAAAUUUGAAACACAUCAUUAAAGCAAGCAUGAAAUAAAAACAGCUCUGAGCACAGAGAUGUUCAUCACUUGCUGGUAUUCUUUGGAUAAGUGUACCAAAAGGCCCAGGUGUCAGAGCUGUGUGUCCCCAGCCCAUGGUACUAUUGAGAGGUGAUGGAACCUUUAAGAGAUGGGGCCUAGUGGGAGAAAAUGAGGUCACUGGGGACUGUGCUCUUGAAGGGGAUGCUGGGAGCCUGGCCCCUCCUCCCUCUCACUCUUUAUUUACUUCAGGGUUACCAUGCGGUGAACAGGCCUCUUCUGCCAUGCAUUCCAGUCAUAAAGUAUUAUGCUGACAGCCCCAAAGCAACAGGACCACCUAACUGUGAACUGCAAUGUCUGAAAUCUUUGCAAUGAAUAUAUCUUCAUACAGAUUUACUUUCACUAAAAUAACUGGCCAUUUCUGUUUCCUGAUGGACUGACUGCCAUCCAUGCUUCUCAUCCCAGCCUUUAGUCACUGCAAAUAAUAUUCAACCAUCACAGAGGAGGGAAGAGUGACAGCACACACUCCUGAAUCAUUUAGGGACCACUAAUUUUCGGGGAAAAAAUGGUUUUUUGAAAGAAACAGAAAGCAUUUGAUGGGUCUGGAGAACAGCUGAGAAGAAGGACAAGCACAAAUAACUCUGCAUGGAUUCCAUGGACUAACAUGUUCUGGAAACUGCUAUAAGGAAUAAAUUCUUCUGCGUAGGGUUUGUUUGCAUGUUAGCAGCUACUAGAAUGAUAAUUUAUAUAAUAUGCUGGACAGAAUAACAACAAUGAUCAGCCACUUUGCUUUUAUUUCUUCAAAGAACAUUGAGGUCCUACUGUGUACACAUAAGACAAAGUCCCUGCUGUCAAAAAAAAUAUUUUUAAAUCCAACUCUAAUAAAAAUAAGAAUAAAAAAGUGAGAGAACUGGCUAGGAAGGACAUUUUCCAAUGUUUCCUUCCAUUAACGAGGCACGUGGUAUGAAAGCGUUCUUUGAAGACAGUUAUUCAAAUGUACUUGUGUUUUUAAUGUCAUUUUAAUGUGAACAUAAUUCCUUUCUUUGUUUUUUGGUACCGCGGAUCUAACUCGUGACCUUGCGCUAUGAGGCAGGUGCGGUGCCACUGAGCUAAACCCUCGGCCCCAUAAUUCCUUCCUUUAUUCUUCAAACCUUUUUUGGUGAAAAAUUCUACACGUACAUAAAUGUACAUUUAAAAGAAUUAUUAUAAAUAUCUAUGUAAGCACCAUUGGGGAUUAAGGUCAGAAACUACAAUGUCAAAGGCACUCUUCCUUAUAACCCUACCUGCCAGACCUAACCACGAUCCUAAUUUUAUAGUAAUCCCUAUUUGACUUUUUUUUGUUUUUUGCCCCCAUAGUGUUCUCCACUAAAUGUGCAUCUAUAAACAUAAUACGGUUUGAUUUAGCUUGUUUUUAAUUUUUAUAUACAAAAGCAUAUCGUAUGCAUUUUUCUGGAUUUCUGUUAUUGUUCCAUAUUUCAUUUUUGAGAUGUCUCCAUGUUGUUCCAGGUAGCUGAAUUCCAUUCCUCUUCACUGCUAUGUAAUACAAAGUAUAUAAAUACUGUUUGAUGAUCAGUUUUCU